ensembl:lncRNA PTCSC2 papillary thyroid carcinoma susceptibility candidate 2
ACAGCGUCAGGGCGGGGAGGGCGCUUGGAGAUCCCCCGGGUCGGCCCCCUCCGCACCCCGAUCGACUGAGGCCCGGAGAGUUCAGGAACCGGCUCGGGAGACCUCAGCGCCCGAACUCGGAGUUUUCGGACUUUUCAGGCCUCUGCCAAGGGCUUGGACUCGCAGAUGGUGGAAAGCUGCACUUGAAGUCCAACUCUGUCCUGGGGGAAUAAUUAUGUUCCCUGUCUUGGGAGCCUUUCUUCAGGGAGCUUGAUGGUUCCAACCCACCCAGGAGCCUGGGACAUCUGUGCCCCUGGGCAAUCCCCUGCAGGUAUGAGAGAACAGAAAUAGAGAUUUGGGUGGCUUUAGCUGUUUAAAAUAAGGUGACCAAACCUCCUUUCUGCCUGUUCCUGCUAUUUCAAACACCACUGUUCUCCACACAAUGAAAAUGGCCUUGUUCCUUAAG